CUUGAGCUGUCCUCCUGGAAUAAGUGGGAUAGCCUGGAGGAGCAGGAAUUGCUGGAUUGAGUUAAUUACAUAAAAAUUUUGUCCUCUCGGCCUUCAGAAAAUGUUUUGCUCUCUGUGGGUGUGUAAAUAUCCACUGAACUGCCUUUGUGGGGUGAGAGCUGAGAGUCCUCUGAAAUCUGCAGGCUGCUCAUCUCCCUGAAAGCUGCAGCUCAGGGAUGGACAGCAGCUCCACCAUUCUCACACAGGGGAUGGGAUAAUGGAGUUUUUAAAGACAGGAUUCUCCAUGCCAGGCUGUGGACACUGCCAGGCCAUGGGACGGACACCCAGCUCCAAGUGCUGGGCAUGGGAAAUCUCAGGGGUGGGAAACGUGCAGGAGGAAAUUGUGCCUUUUAAACUCUGUCCUCAGGGCACUACUGCUGCCUGGGAUGGGAAAUCCUGGGAAUAAAAACCAUGCAGGAGGAAGUGGUGCCCUGUAAAGGCUGUGCUCAGGACACUGCUGCUGCCUGCCCUUGGAGAGCCCCAAAAUCUCCUUCUCUUCCAGGCAGGCUUGAGGCACAGGCUGGACAAGCUCUGUGUGGCCAUGGAUGUGGCAGUUCAGCCCGAGCUGGGGGUGGAGGAGGAGGCUCCAUGUGAAGAAUCCCCUCUUUUAUCCAGCAGGGUGACCCUGAAUAAAAACCCUGUGACCUGCAAUGAGUUCCUGCACCUCAUCCCCGAGGGCCCACCCGAGGCCAUGGCCCAGCAGCUCCUGGUGAUUUUCAGUGGAUGCUACGUCCGGCUCCUGGUGACGGGCCGGCUCCCUCGGGCCGGGCCAGGGACACACCUGGGCCACAGCAGCAUCCCCUGCCUCUGCCAGUUCAUCCAGACCACCGUGCUCCACACCCACCACAGCUGGGGCAGGUGACCAGAGGGGGCUGGAAAACACCCAAAUAGAGCUGUCCCCACACACACCGGUGUGGAGAAGCUGUGGGGCAGAGAAGGGAGCUGUAAUUCCUUGCCCUGGAUGGAUGAGAGGAAAUAGGACUCCAAUAAAACAUGCAAGAAAGCUGCUGACCUUGGAGAG
rnacentral:lncRNA from 1 species